rnacentral:rRNA from 1 species
AACGGAAAGGCCCUGCUUGCAGGGUACUCGAGUGGCGAACGGGUGAGUAACACGUGGGUGAUCUGCCCUGCACUUCGGGAUAAGCUUGGGAAACUGGGUCUAAUACCGGAUAGGAACCAUCUUUANUGUGGUGGUUGGAAAGUUUUUUCGGUGUAGGAUGAGCUCGCGGCCUAUCAGCUUGUUGGUGGGGUAAUGGCCUACCAAGGCGGCGACGGGUAGCCGGCCUGAGAGGGUGUACGGCCACAUUGGGACUGAGAUACGGCCCAGACUCCUACGGGAGGCAGCAGUGGGGAAUAUUGCACAAUGGGCGCAAGCCUGAUGCAGCGACGCCGCGUGGGGGAUGAAGGCCUUCGGGUUGUAAACUCCUUUCGCUAGGGACGAAGCUUUUUGUGACGGUACCUAGAUAAGAAGCACCGGCUAACUACGUGCCAGCAGCCGCGGUAAUACGUAGGGUGCGAGCGUUGUCCGGAAUUACUGGGCGUAAAGGGCUCGUAGGUGGUUUGUCGCGUCGUCUGUGAAACUCUGGGGCUUAACUCCGGGCGUGCAGGCGAUACGGGCAUAACUUGAGUGCUGUAGGGGUAACUGGAAUUCCUGGUGUAGCGGUGAAAUGCGCAGAUAUCAGGAGGAACACCGAUGGCGAAGGCAGGUUACUGGGCAGUUACUGACGCUGAGGAGCGAAAGCAUGGGUAGCGAACAGGAU